GCUUAGUCUGUUAGGAGUCUCUGUGUUUGCUCCUUGCUUGUCUCUCCCGUGCGGCUUCUUCGUAUGAUAGGAGGAAGUGACUUGUAAUCACUUCCUCCUGGCACUGCGGCAUCGUACAAAGCAGGGGCCCCGGUCGCGCUAUUUCAGAGCCGUGGUGUCUGACCGGGUCCCUGAAUCAACGUGCGGAUGGUACUGCAGCUGUG